rnacentral:rRNA from 1 species
AACGAACGCUGGCGGCAGGCUUAACACAUGCAAGUCGAGCGCAGGAAACUGACGGAACUCUUCGGAGGGAAGGCAGUGGAAUGAGCGGCGGACGGGUGAGUAACACGUAAGGAACCUGCCUCAAGGAUUGGGAUAACUCCGAGAAAUCGGAGCUAAUACCGGAUAGUUCAUCGGACCGCAUGGUCCGUUGAUGAAAGGCGCUCCGGCGUCACCUUGAGAUGGCCUUGCGGUGCAUUAGCUAGUUGGUGGGGUAACGGCCCACCAAGGCGACGAUGCAUAGCCGACCUGAGAGGGUGAUCGGCCACACUGGGACUGAGACACGGCCCAGACUCCUACGGGAGGCAGCAGUAGGGAAUCUUCCACAAUGGACGAAAGUCUGAUGGAGCAACGCCGCGUGAGUGAUGAAGGUUUUCGGAUCGUAAAGCUCUGUUGUAAGGGAAGAACACGUACGAGAGGGAAUGCUCGUACCUUGACGGUACCUUACGAGAAAGCCACGGCUAACUACGUGCCAGCCGCCGCGGUAAUAC